GUCAGUGUAGUUUUAUGGUUUAAGCAUUAGAGUGUGACUCUGGAGACCAGGGUUUGAAUCCCUGCUUGGCU
rnacentral:tRNA from 1 species